GAGACUCUGUGCGCGUGCAUAUCAAUAAGCGGAGGAAAAGAAACUAACAAGGAUUCCCUUAGUAACGGCGAGUGAAGCGGGAAGAGCUCAAAUUUGAAAUCCUCAAGGUUCUACCUUGACGAAUUGUAGUUUAUAGAAGUGUUUUCUGUUAGUGGAGUGGCAAAAGUUCUUUGGAAUAGGACAUCAUAGAGGGUGAGAAUCCCGUAUUUGGUCAUUCCUCCUAGCGUUGCGAUACACUUUCAACGAGUCGGAUUGUUUGGGAAUGCAGUCCAAAAUGGGUGGUAAAUUUCAUCUAAAGCUAAAUAUUGGCGAGAGACCGAUAGCGAACAAGUACCGUGAGGGAAAGAUGAAAAGAACUUUGAAAAGAGAGUUAAACAGUACGUGAAAUUGUCAAAAGGGAAGCGUUUGACACCAGUGUUGUUUUUCCGAAAAUCAAUUACGAAUGUUUUAUUUAUGAGGAGUUAUGACUUCAUCGGCUUGCUCCUUUCUUUAUGAAACUUUCUUAAUGCACUUUUCGGUUAACAAGUCAACAUCAAUUUCUUUUGUUGUAAAAGGGUAUGAGGAAGGUGGCUUUCUUUUCGGAGAAAGUGUUUAUAGCCUUGUGCCCUCUGCAAUCGGAGAGAUUGAGGUCUGCAGCGUAGAUCCUUCGGGGUUAGAUACAUUUGUGCUAAGUUAUAGCUUUUCAUAGACAACUUGUUGACUAUGUUUAGUCUUGUAGCUUACUCGCUUAUGCUAUUUUACCUACGCUUAGGAUGUUGACAGCAGUAUAGACUGU
rnacentral:rRNA from 1 species